rnacentral:rRNA from 1 species
AUUGAACGCUGGCGGCAGGCUUAACACAUGCAAGUCGAGCGGAAACGAUGGUAGCUUGCUACCAGGCGUCGAGCGGCGGACGGGUGAGUAAUACUUAGGAAUCUACCUAGUAGUGGGGGAUAGCACGGGGAAACUCGUAUUAAUACCGCAUACGUCCUACGGGAGAAAGGGGGCAACUUGUUGCUCUCGCUAUUAGAUGAGCCUAAGUCGGAUUAGCUAGAUGGUGGGGUAAAGGCCUACCAUGGCGACGAUCUGUAGCUGGUCUGAGAGGAUGAUCAGCCACACCGGGACUGAGACACGGCCCGG